GAACUAUUUUUUCUUGUUUUGAAAACAGGAUUUAAGAUUUAUUUCUUGUAGUUU
rnacentral:tRNA from 1 species